GACGUAGGGCGCGAGCGUUGUCCGGAUUUAUUGGGCGUAAAGAGCUCGUAGGCGGCUUGUCGCGUCGGCUGUGAAAACCCGCGGCUCAACUGUGGGCGGGCAGCUGAUACGGGCAGGCUGGAGUUCGGUAGGGGAGACUGGAAUUCCUGGUGUAGCGGUGAAAUGCGCAGAUAUCAGGAGGAACACCGGUGGCGAAGGCGGGUCUCUGGGCCACUACUGACGCUGAGAAGCGAAAGCAUGGGGAGCGAACAGG
rnacentral:rRNA from 1 species